UACAGAGGUCUCAAGCGUUGUUCGGAUUCAUUGGGCGUAAAGGGCGCGUAGGCGGCGGGGUAAGUCUGGUGUGAAAUCUCGGAGCUCAACUCCGAAAUUGCACUGGAUACUGCUCUGCUUGAGGGUUGGAGAGGAGAUCGGAAUUCACGGUGUAGCAGUGAAAUGCGUAGAUAUCGUGAGGAAGACCAGUGGCGAAGGCGGAUCUCUGGACAGCUCCUGACGCUGAGGCGCGAAGGCUAGGGGAGCAAACGGG
rnacentral:rRNA from 1 species